AUAGUGAACCAGUACCGUGAGGGAAAGGCGAAAAGAACCCCGGCGAGGGGAGUGAAAAAGAACCUGAAACCGUGUACGUACAAGCAGUGGGAGCCCCACCACUAAGCCAGUGGUGAACUCCACAUACGCAUCCUUUGCUGAGGAUACGGUUAACGGAGCGAAAGCGACGUUCAACCUCAAAAGAAGCAGAGGGGGCUUAGUGGUGGGGUGACUGCGUACCUUUUGUAUAAUGGGUCAGCGACUUAUAUUCUGUAGCAAGGUUAACCGAAUAGGGGAGCCGGAGGGAAACCGAGUCUUAAUUGGGCGUUAAGUUGCAGGGUAUAGACCCGAAACCCGGUGAUCUAGCCAUGGGCAGGUUGAAGGUUGGGUAACACUAACUGGAGGACCGAACCGACUAAUGUUGAAAAAUUAGCGGAUGACCUGUGGCUGGGGGUGAAAGGCCAAUCAAACCGGGAGAUAGCUGGUUCUCCCCGAAAGCUAUUUAGGUAGCGCCUCGUGAAUUCAUCUCCGGGGGUAGAGCACUGUUUCGGCUAGGGGGCCAUCCCGGCUUACCAACCCGAUGCAAACUGCGAAUACCGGAGAAUGUUAUCACGGGAGACACACGGCGGGUGCUAACGUCCGUCGUGAAGAGGGAAACAACCCAGACCGCCAGCUAAGGUCCCAAAGUCAUGGUUAAGUGGGAAACGAUGUGGGAAGGCCCAGACAGCCAGGAUGUUGGCUUAGAAGCAGCCAUCAUUUAAAGAAAGCGUAAUAGCUCACUGGUCGAGUCGGCCUGCGCGGAAGAUGUAACGGGGCUAAACCAUGCACCGAAGCUGCGGCAGCGACGUUUAUGCGUUGUUGGGUAGGGGAGCGUUCUGUAAGCCUGCGAAGGUGGCCUGUGAGGGUUGCUGGAGGUAUCAGAAGUGCGAAUGCUGACAUAAGUAACGAUAAAGCGGUUGAUAAGCCCGCUCGC
rnacentral:rRNA from 1 species